AUCUUACAUCUACGAUAAGGGUGAGUCAGGUAGGUACCAUCUUACAUCUACGACAAGGGUGAGCCAGGUAGGUACCAUCUCACAUCUACGAUAAGGGUGAGCCAGGUAGGUGCCAUCUAACAUCUACGACAAGGGUGAGCCAGGUAGAUACCAUCUUUUAUCUACGACAAGGGUGAGCCAGGUAGGUACCAUCUUACAUCUACGAUAAGGGUAAGCCAGGUAGGUACCAUCUUACAUCUACGACAAGGGUGAGCCAGGUAGGUACCAUCUUACAUCUACGAUAAGGGUGAGCCAGGUAGGUACCAUCUUACAUCUACGAUAAGGGUGAGCCAGGUAGGUAUCAUCUUACAUCUACGAUAAGGGUAAGCCAGGUAGGUACCAUCUUACAUCUACGAUAAGGGUAAGCCAGGUAGGUACCGUCUUACAUCUACGAUAAGGGUGAGCCAGGUAGGAACCAUCUUACAUCUACGAUAAGGGUAAGCCAGGUAGGUACCAUCUUACAUCUACGACAAGGGUGAGCCAGGUAGGUACCAUCUUACAUCUACGAUAAGGGUGAGCCAGGUAGGUAUCAUCUUACAUCUACGAUAAGGGUAAGCCAGGUAGGUACCAUCUUACAUCUACGAUAAGGGUAAGCCAGGUAGGUACCGUCUUACAUCUACGAUAAGGGUGACCCAGGUAGGUCCCAUCUUACAUCUACGAUAAGGGUGAGCCAGGUAGGUACCAUCUUAGAUCUACGAUAAGGGUAAGCCAGGUAGGUACCAUCUUACAUCUACGAUAAGGGUAAGCCAGGUAGGUACCAUCUUACAUCUACGAUAAGGGUGAGCCAGGUAGGUACCAUCUUACAUCUACAACAAGGGUGAGCCAGGUCGGUACCAUCUUACAUCUACGAUAAGGGUGAGCCAGGUAGGUAUCAUCUUACAUCUACGAUAAGGGUAAGCCAGGUAGGUACCAUCUUACAUCUACGAUAAGGGUAAGCCAGGUAGGUACCGUCUUACAUCUACGAUAAGGGUGACCCAGGUAGGUCCCAUCUUACAUCUACGAUAAGGGUGAGCCAGGUAGGUACCAUCUUAGAUCUACGAUAAGGGUAAGCCAGGUAGGUACCAUCUUACAUCUACGAUAAGGGUAAGCCAGGUAGGUACCAUCUUACAUCUACGAUAAGGGUGAGCCAGGUAGGUACCAUCUUACAUCUACAACAAGGGUGAGCCAGGUCGGUACCAUCUUACAUCUACGAUAAGGGUGAGUCAGGUAGGUACCAUCUUACAUCUACGACAAGGGUGAGCCAGGUAGGUACCAUCUCACAUCUACGAUAAGGGUGAGCCAGGUAGGUGCCAUCUAACAUCUACGACAAGGGUGAGCCAGGUAGAUACCAUCUUUUAUCUACGACAAGGGUGAGCCAGGUAGGUAACAUCUUACAUCUACGAUAAGGGUAAGCCAGGUAGGUACCAUCUUACAUCUACGACAAGGGUGAGCCAGGUAGGUACCAUCUUACAUCUACGAUAAGGGUGAGCCAGGUAGGUACCAUCUUACAUCUACGAUAAGGGUAAGCCAGGUAGGUACCAUCUUACAUCUACGAUAAGGGUGAGCCAGGUAGGAACCAUCUUACAUCUACGAUAAGGGUAAGCCAGGUAGGUACCAUCUUACAUCUACGACAAGGGUGAGCCAGGUAGGUACCAUCUUACAUCUACGAUAAGGGUGAGCCAGGUAGGUAUCAUCUUACAUCUACGAUAAGGGUAAGCCAGGUAGGUACCAUCUUACAUCUACGAUAAGGGUAAGCCAGGUAGGUACCGUCUUACAUCUACGAUAAGGGUGACCCAGGUAGGUCCCAUCUUACAUCUACGAUAAGCGUGAGACAGGUAUGUACCAUCUUACAUCUACGAUAAGGGUGAGCCAGGAAGGUACCCUCUUACAUCUACAACGAGGGUGACCCAGGUAGGUACCAUCUUACAUCUACGAUAACCGUGAGUCAGGUAGGAACCAUCUUACAUCUACAAUAAGGGUAAGCCAGGUAGGUACCAUCUUACAUCUACGAUAAGCGUGAGCCUGGUAGGUACCAUCUUAAUGGUGAGCCAGGUAGGUACCAUCUUACAUCUACGAUAAGAGUGAGCCAGGUAGGUACCAUCUUACAUCAACGAUAAGGGUGACCCAGGUAGGUCCCAUCUUACCUCCACGAUAAGCGUGAGACAGGUAGGUACCAUCUUACAUCUACGAUAAGGGUGAGCCAGGAAGGUACCAUCUUACAUCUACAACGAGGGUGACCCAGGUAGGUACCAUCUUACAUCUACGAUAACCGUGAGCCAGGUAGGUACCAUCUUAAUGGUGAGCCAGGUAGGGUCGUAAAUAUGGAAGUGAGAUAACUUUCAAAUUUUAAAGGUGAAAUUUAAUGAUUCUAAGAGUGCAUGAUUGCUUUAAAGGUGCACUUUAAUGACUACUAAUUCAGGAAAGUUCCAUAAACGUUGAUAAAGACCUUUAAAGAAGUUUAAAAAUAAGAUUUAAUAGCUUUACAAAUUCAGGAAAGUUACACUAAGGUUCAUUUAAGGAACUUAAAAGAGAUUUAAAGAUAAGAUUUAAUGGAUUUACGUGUUCAGGAUAGUUUCAUAAAGGUUUAUUUAAACACCU